rnacentral:rRNA from 1 species
GACGAACGCUGGCGGCGUGCUUAACACAUGCAAGUCGAACGGUGAAGCGCCUUCCUUUUUGGUGGGUGUGGAUGAGUGGCGAACGGGUGAGUAACACGUGAGUAACCUGCCCCCUUCUUCUGGAUAACCGCAUGAAAGUGUGGCUAAUACGGGAUAUUCUGGGUCUGUCGCAUGAUGGGUCUGGGAAAGAUAUUGUUUCGGUGGGGGAUGGGCUCGCGGCCUAUCAGCUUGUUGGUGGGGUGAUGGCCUACCAAGGCGGUGACGGGUAGCCGGCCUGAGAGGGUGGACGGUCACACUGGGACUGAGACACGGCCCAGACUCCUACGGGAGGCAGCAGGGGGGAAUAUUGCACAAUGGGCGCAAGCAUGAUGCAGCGACGCCGCGGGAGGGAUGGAGGCCUUCGGGUUGUGAACCUCUUUCGCCAGUGAAGCAGGCCUGCCUCGUUUGUGGGUGGGUUGACGGUAGCUGGAUAAGAAGCGCCGGCUAACUACGUG